UACAGAGGUCCCGAGCGUUGUUCGGAUUCACUGGGCGUAAAGGGUGCGUAGGUGGUGAGGUAAGUCGGAUGUGAAAUCUCCGGGCUCAACCCGGAAUGGCAUUGGAACUACCUUGCUGGAGGAUUGAGGGGGAUUGGAAUACUUGGUGUAGCGGUGAAAUGCGUAGAUAUCAAGAGGAACACCUGCGGCGAAGGCGGGUUGCUGGGCCGACACUGACGCUGAAGUGCGAAAGCUAGGGAGCGAACGGG
rnacentral:rRNA from 1 species